rnacentral:sRNA from 1 species
UUGAAAAAAACGGCUCCACUCUAGUCCCUGAGCGGAGCGUAGGGGAAUGGCUCUGUGUUAGAGCCUUGCGCUAAUAGUCUGUUAAGUGUAGACCGAGUUGCGUGCUUUGCAAGCUCAGCCAAGCCCCUUGUCUUUCACUAACUC